rnacentral:rRNA from 1 species
UAAGGAAUAUUGGACAAUGGACGGAAGUCUGAUCCAGCCAUGCCGCGUGAAGGAUGAAGGCGCUCUGCGUUGUAAACUUCUUUUAGGUGGGAACAAACCUCUCGAUGCGUUGAGAGCUGAGGGUACCAUCAGAAUAAGCACCGGCUAACUCCGUGCCAGCAGCCGCGGUAAUACGGAGGGUGCAAGCGUUAUCCGGAAUCACUGGGUUUAAAGGGUGCGUAGGCGGUCUUGUAAGUCAGUCGUGAAAUCGCUGGGCUCAACCCAUGCAACUGCGAUUGAUACUGCUUGACUUGAAUAAGGUUGAGGUAGGCGGAAUGUGGCAUGUAGCGGUGAAAUGCUUAGAUAUGCCAUAGAACACCGAUUGCGAAGGCAGCUUGCUGGACCUUUAUUGACGCUGAGG